UUCGUUUUUUAAGUUAAUUUUUUAAAUAUUUGUAAUUAAUUUUUAUAUAAAUAUUCAAGCACAAAGACAAAAAGAAGCCCCAUCGGCUAUGUGUGUUUUGCAAAAAGUACUCAUCGUAUCUAAAGCGUCAUAUUAAGACAAAGCAUAAAUCCGAAGUUGAAGUUGUUCAGACACUCCCCAAAAAAAAACAGCGAUUAGCUUUUCAAAAGUUCAAAAGACUUGGUAUAUAUGAAGUUAAUCAGGCUAAAGCUAGGAAAGGGAAACCACAAUUUGAAAGAGAACGUAUUGCUAAAGUGGAAAAUGAUGUUAGUUUUCGUAGUCAUUGUUUGAUGUUUGCUUCAAGAAGAUAUUGGUAUAGCCGUGUUAGGCGAUGUCAAAAAAAUUCUUUGUAAAUCAAUUGUUCUUAUACCUAUUGGACUUCUACAGAUACCCAAUGGUGUAUAAAUUGGUGAAGGUUUUCGAACAAACAUUCUAGCAAGUUUUAAAAGCUGUGUUUCUCACUCAAAGUAAAGAUGAUCUAUCCCAAGAAAUCAAUAAGUUCGUUAGAAUUCUUGAGAUGUGGGAAGAUUAUAUUUUUAGAGAUGCAAUAUAUCAACUGAAUAAAAAUAAAAACAUAAAAUUAAGAAAACCUUCUGAAUUACCAGAUGAUUAUGAUACAUUUGUAUUCAGAAACCAUAUUUUAAAAAGAAUGAAGUAACUAACAGCUAAAUCUUUUGAGUUCUUUGAUACAUCUAGUUAUGUAGAACUUAGGGACUGUGCAUGGGCAAGAUUAACCAUGUUGAAUGAAAGGAGAGGAGUAGAGCCUGGAAGAUUGCUAAUUGAUGAGUUUAAUCAAGCCGUCAAUGAUUAUUGGAUUGAUAAACAGCGACUCUCUGAUUUAGAUGAUCUAGAACAAAGAUUAUUAGAUCACCUUAAAAUAACCUUUAUGUGUGGAAAAGGGAACAAUCAUUUAGUACCUAUACUUAUUCCUCCAGAUACUAUGCCUUCAUUAAAAAAAGUUAGCUGAUCCCAUAGUAUGCAAAGAAGUUGACAUUUUACAAAGUAACGCUUUCUUGUUUGCAAUUACAAAACAAUCAGAAGGAUACACUUCAGGAUGGCAUUCUGUUCAUAAUAUUAUUAGUGUUCUCAGUUUAAAAAACCCAGAAAAUAUUAAAGCAACUUCUAAUUGCCAUAGAGUUAGCACACUUUUUUUUAGAGUUAGCACACUCAACUUCGAUAUGCCAAAGUCAGAAAGUAAUAAAACACAUCCUGCAUGCAAAAAUAAUAAAAAUUCAAUACUUAUCUCUGUUGCAAGUGCUACAUCACACACAAAAAACAAGACAAAAAAUGUGUUUACUGAACAUAUUGCAAACCAGAAAACCAGAAAAAGUAAACCAGAAAACAAAGAUCUUUUCACGAGUCAAAAUUUAUCCUUUAAGAAAAAAGCGAAAUCUUGAUUAUUCAGAUGAUUUUAAUAUUGAUUUUAAUGAGAUUAUUAAAGAACCUAAUGAUGAACAAGAGUAUAAGUCAGGUAUGUUUUGAAAAUCACGAUGUUACAAGGUUUUUAUGGUGAACUUGAUCUGUUUUGAAUUUAAAAUUGUGUAUGGAAAAAUAUUAGUUGCAGAACUUCUCCGUGUGGUAACAAUGAUUGAUAAAACUAGGUUUUUUGAUUUAUUACUUUGCGUAUCUAACUAUAUUGUUUAAUUAUUUUGAAGUGCUGUUGUUUAGAUCAACAAUCUCUUUGCGAAUUUAUUUCUGUAAGUGGAACUGGUUUACCGUAUAAAACCGUAAGAACCAAACUUACGAAUGAACGCAUUAAAGUUAGAAAUUGUAUUAAACGUAACUUGUUGGAAAUAAACUUAAACCCUAAAA
rnacentral:lncRNA from 1 species